GGAGGCGUUUGGGUUCCUGGUCUGCCCGGUCUUCAAAGCCGGUGAGACCGGGGAGCCCGGUCUUGCAGGUUUGUUUCCUGUCCGCCUUCGCCA
rnacentral:tRNA from 1 species